UCGACUAUGAAAACAAUUGACGUCUGUUGUAGCCAGCGGAUGUUUUAUUUGGUAGUUGUAUUUUAUAAAGUCUAUCAUAAGACACACGCGGCUAUAACAGAACUGUUCAAUAAGCAACCUAACCC
rnacentral:precursor_RNA from 15 species